CUAAUUACCUUGCAGGGGAAACACGCUGAUUGUGAAGGAGGUUUUCCCAGGGUGAAGUUCAUCCAUUGAACUUCGGGUGUGCCGACCCUUGUGAUUUUCCCUAAUGUGGGAAACUCGACUGCAUAAUGGUUUUAGGGAUGUAUUUUCUGCAUCAGUGUGGAUUUCCA
ensembl:snRNA U1 U1 spliceosomal RNA